rnacentral:rRNA from 1 species
GUUAUAUGGUCAAGCGACUAAGCGCACACGGUGGAUGCCUAGGCAGUUGGAGGCGAUGAAGGACGUAGGAGCCUGCGAAAAGGUCAGGGGAGCCGGCAAACAUGCUUUGAUCCUGACAUGUCCGAAUGGGGAAACCCACUCAGGGUAACCUGAGUAUCCUGUACUGAAUACAUAGGUACAGGAAGCGAACCCGGGGAACUGAAACAUCUAAGUACCCGGAGGAAAAGAAAUCAACCGAGAUUCCCUCAGUAGCGGCGAGCGAAAGGGGACCAGCCCUUAAGUGGUUUUGGUUUUAGUGGAACGCUCUGGAAAGUGCGGCGAUACAGGGUGAUAGCCCCGUACACGAAAAGGCCUUAAUCAUGAAAACGAGUAGGACGGGACACGUGUUAUCCUGUCUGAAUAUGGGGGGACCAUCCUCCAAGGCUAAAUACUCCCAACUGACCGAUAGUGAACCAGUACCGUGAGGGAAAGGCGAAAAGAACCCCUGUGAGGGGAGUGAAAUAGAUCCUGAAACCGUGUGCGUACAAGCAGUAGGAGCAGACUUGUUCUGUGACUGCGUACCUUUUGUAUAAUGGGUCAGCGACUUAUUGUCAGUGGCAAGGUUAACCGAAUAGGGGAGCCGUAGCGAAAGCGAGUCUUAAUAGGGCGUUCAGUCGCUGGCAAUAGACCCGAAACCCGGCGAUCUAUCCAUGGGCAGGUUGAAGGUGAGGUAACACUUACUGGAGGACCGAACCCACGUCUGUUGAAAAAGACGGGGAUGACCUGUGGAUCGGAGUGAAAGGCUAAUCAAGCCGGGAGAUAGCUGGUUCUCCCCGAAAACUAUUUAGGUAGUGCGUCAUGUCUCACCCGCGGGGGUAGAGCACUGUUUGGGCUAGGGGGUCAUCCCGACUUACCAACCCCAUGCAAACUACGAAUACCGCGGAGUGCAAUCAUGGCAGACACACGGCGGGUGCUAACGUCCGUCGUGAAGAGGGAAACAACCCAGACCGCCAGCUAAGGUCCCAAAUGCCAGUUAAGUGGGAAACGAUGUGGGAAGGCUUAGACAGCUAGGAGGUUGGCUUAGAAGCAGCCACCCUUUAAAGAAAGCGUAAUAGCUCACUAGUCGAGUCGGCCUGCGCGGAAGAUGUAACGGGGCUAAAACUGGCAACCGAAGCUGCGGAUGCGUGCUUGCACGCAUGGUAGGGGAGCGUUCUGUAAGCCGUUGAAGGUGAGUUGAGAAGCUUGCUGGAGGUAUCAGAAGUGCGAAUGCUGACAUAAGUAACGAUAAGGGGAGUGAAAAACUCCCCCGCCGGAAGACCAAGGGUUCCUGUCCAACGUUAAUCGGGACAGGGUUAGUCGGCCCCUAAGGCGAGGCCGAAAGGCGUAGUCGAUGGAAAACAGGUUAAUAUUCCUGUACCGCUUUUUACUGCGAUGGGGGGACGGAGAAGGCUAGAUCAGCACGGCGUUGGUUGUCCGUGUUUAAGGUGGUAGGCUGAUAUCUCAGGCAAAUCCGGGAUAUCAAGGCCGAGAACUGAUGACGAGUGUUCCUCGGAACAUGAAGUGAUUGAUGCCAUGCUUCCAAGAAAAGCCUCUAAGCUUCAGGUAAAAAGAGACCGUACUCCAAACCGACACAGGUGGUCAGGUAGAGAAUACCAAGGCGCUUGAGAGAACUCGGGUGAAGGAACUAGGCAAAAUGGCACCGUAACUUCGGGAGAAGGUGCACCGGUUUUGGUGAUGGGACUUGCUCCCUGAGCUGAGGCCGGUCGAAGAUACCAGGCCCCUGCAACUGUUUAUUAAAAACACAGCACUCUGCAAACACGUAAGUGGACGUAUAGGGUGUGACGCCUGCCCGGUGCCGGAAGGUUAAUUGAUGGGGUUAGCGCAAGCGAAGCUCUUGAUCGAAGCCCCGGUAAACGGCGGCCGUAACUAUAACGGUCCUAAGGUAGCGAAAUUCCUUGUCGGGUAAGUUCCGACCUGCACGAAUGGCGUAAUGAUGGGGGCGCUGUCUCCACCCGAGACUCAGUGAAAUUGAAAUCGCGGUUAAGAUGCCGUGUACCCGCGGCUAGACGGAAAGACCCCGUGAACCUUUACUGUAGCUUUGCACUGAACUUUGAACCUGUCUGUGUAGGAUAGGUGGGAGGCUUUGAAGUUAAGACGCCAGUCUUAAUGGAGCCGUCCUUGAAAUACCACCCUGGUAUGUUUGAGGUUCUAACGUCGGCCCGUAAUCCGGGCUACGGACAGUGUAUGGUGGGCAGUUUGACUGGGGCGGUCUCCUCCCAAAGAGUAACGGAGGAGCACGAAGGUGUGCUAAUCAUGGUCGGAAAUCAUGAGGUUAGUGUAAAGGCAAAAGCACGCUUGACUGCGAGACAGACAUGUCGAGCAGGUACGAAAGUAGGUCUUAGUGAUCCGGUGGUUCUGUAUGGAAGGGCCAUCGCUCAACGGAUAAAAGGUACUCCGGGGAUAACAGGCUGAUACCGCCCAAGAGUUCACAUCGACGGCGGUGUUUGGCACCUCGAUGUCGGCUCAUCACAUCCUGGGGCUGAAGCCGGUCCCAAGGGUAUGGCUGUUCGCCAUUUAAAGUGGUACGCGAGCUGGGUUUAGAACGUCGUGAGACAGUUCGGUCCCUAUCUGCCGUGGGCGUUGGAGAUUUGAGAAGAGUUGUUCCUAGUACGAGAGGACCGGAAUGAACGCACCUCUGGUGUUCGGGUUGUCAUGCCAAUGGCAUUGCCCGGUAGCUAUGUGCGGACGGGAUAACCGCUGAAAGCAUCUAAGCGGGAAGCCUCCUUCAAGAUAAGAUCUCCCCGGGGCCUUGAGCCCCCUGAAGAGCCGUUGAAGACUACGACGUUGAUAGGCUGGGUGUGGAAGCGCUGUGAGGCGUUGAGCUAACCAGUACUAAUUGCUCGUGCGGCUUGACCAUAUAACAGA